GUGGCUAUAGUGUAGUGGUAACACAAGAGAUUGUGGCUCUCUUAUCGCUCGGUUCGACCCCGGCUAGUCACCC
rnacentral:tRNA from 2 species